ACUAAGAUAGGUUGUAAGAAAGAAAGAAGAGCAAUCGGAGGGAAAUUGAAAAUCUGAUCUGAAUGAAUUGGACACCCAGUGCCCAGGCCCUUUUAUAGCCAUCAGAGAGAUGCCAAAAGAGAGGGACACACCUCAUCUAAGAGGCCUAUCUGAUUUGAUUAUCAGAGAUGAGAGUUCCUUCAAGCAGAAGGACUCUUAUCAAUGAUACAUCGAUCAGCACCCU
rnacentral:lncRNA from 1 species